rnacentral:tRNA from 1 species
GUUAUUUUGGCAGAGAAUAUGUGUUGGAUUUAGGAUCCUAUAAGAUAGAGUAAUCUAUA